rnacentral:rRNA from 1 species
UACGUAGGGUGCGAGCGUUGUCCGGAAUUAUUGGGCGUAAAGAGCUUGUAGGCGGUCUGUCGCGUCUGCUGUGAAAAUCCGGGGCUCAACCCCGGACUUGCAGUGGGUACGGGCAGACUAGAGUGUGGUAGGGGAGACUGGAAUUCCUGGUGUAGCGGUGAAAUGCGCAGAUAUCAGGAGGAACACCAGUGGCGAAGGCGAUCACCUGGGGUUGUUCUGACGCUGAGGAGCGAAAGCUAGGGGAGCAAACGGG